UGGGGAAUUUUGCGCAAUGGGCGAAAGCCUGACGCAGCAACGCCGCGUGAGUGAUGAAGGCCUUCGGGUCGUAAAGCUCUGUCAGAGGGGAAGAACCACCUGAGGGAUAAUAUCCUUCAGGCCUGACGGUAACUCCAAAGGAAGCACCGGCUAACUCCGUGCCAGCAGCCGCGGUAAUACGGAGGGUGCGAGCGUUGUCCGGAAUCACUGGGCGUAAAGGGCGCGUAGGCGGCCUGAUAAGUAGGGGGUGAAAUCCUGCGGCUCAACCGCAGGGCUGCCUUCUAAACUGUCAGGCUCGAGCACAGUAGAGGCAGGUGGAAUUCCCGGUGUAGCGGUGGAAUGCGUAGAGAUCGGGAAGAACAUCAGUGGCGAAGGCGGCCUGCUGGACUGUUGCUGACGCUGAGGCGCGACAGCGUGGGGAGCAA
rnacentral:rRNA from 1 species